GGGCCCAUAGCUCAGCGGUCAGAGCAGGCGACUCAUAAUCGCUUGGUCACUGGUUCAAAUCCAGUUGGGCCCA
rnacentral:tRNA from 1 species